UUGACCUCGGAUCAGGUAGGAAUACCCGCUGAACUUAAGCAUAUCAAUAAGCGGAGGAAAAGAAACCAACAGGGAUUGCCUCAGUAACGGCGAGUGAAGCGGCAACAGCUCAAAUUUGAAAUCUGGCCUUUACGGUCCGAGUUGUAAUUUGUAGAGGAUGUUUUGGGCACCGCCCCGGGUUAAAUUUCUUGGAACAGAAUGUCAAAGAGGGUGAGAGUCCCGUCUUGGCCCGCGGUAGGACCUAUGUAAAACUCCUUCGACGAGUCGACUUGUUUGGGAAUGCAGGUCUAAAUGGGUGGUAAAUUUCAUCUAAAGCUAAAUAUUGGCCAGAGACCGAUAGCGCACAAGUAGAGUGAUCGAAAGAUGAAAAGCACUUUGAAAAGAGAGUUAAACAGUAUGUGAAAUUGUUGAAAGGGAAGCGCUGGCAACCAGACUCGAGCGCGGUGUUCCCCUUGGCUUCUGCCUUGGUUAUUUCACCGUGACCGGGCCAUCAUCAGUUUUGGGGGUUGGUUAAAGAUCUGGGGAAUGUAUCCUCUCUUUCGGGGGAGGACUUAUAGCCCUGGAUGUCAUGCAGCCUCCCGGGACUGAGGAACGCGCUUCGGCGAGGAUGAUGGCGUAAUGGUUGUCAGCGACCCGUCUUGAAACACGGACCAAGGAGUCUAACAUCUAUGCGAGUGUUCGGGUGUCAAACCCCUGCGCGGAAUGAAAGUGAACGGAGGUAGGAAGGCCUGUGCCUGCACUAUCGACCGAUCCUGAUGUCUUCGGAUGGAUUUGAGUAAGAGCAUAGCUGUUGGGACCCGAAAGAUGGUGAACUAUGCGUGAAUAGGGUGAAGCCAGAGGAAACUCUGGUGGAGGCUCGCAGCGGUUCUGACGUGCAAAUCGAUCGUCAAAUUUGCGUAUAGGGGCGAAAGACUAAUCGAACC
rnacentral:rRNA from 1 species